rnacentral:rRNA from 1 species
AUGCACUGGUACUCGUGGUGGAAAUUGUGCUUCCCUAAAAAUGAAGGCGGUAUGGGAUUUCGUGAUCUAUAUUCGUUCAAUUUAGCCAUGCUUACUAAACAAUGUUGAAGGUUAAUUACUGAACCAGAGUCCCUAUGUGCUUGUGUUUUGAAAGCGAAAUAUUAUCCAAAUGGGAGCUUACUUCAAGCUAUUCCUAAACAAGGAUCGUCUUUCACAUGGAAAAGUAUUCUGAAGGGGCUAGAGACUUUCAAGAAAGGCUUUAUUUGGAGAAUUGGUUCUGGUGAUACAGUGAACAUAUGGGAUGAUCCAUGGAUACCUUCCACUUCGGAUCGAAAGAUAAUUACCCCUCGUGGGCAAACAUUACUGUCAUAG